rnacentral:ncRNA from 1 species
CAGAGUAAACAUUCAAGCGUUAAGUGUCUUACGGACGGGGAGUUGCCGUAAGGACGAAGGAUUUUUCCCGCGGUUUGAUUGUUGCAUCCCGCUG